CUGACCUUUCACACAGCAAAUAAGAAUUUGCUUACCCACCUUUACUUACCUUUGCUGACCCAAAUAAGAACGACUCUACCUGCACUGUGGGAGACCUGGGUUCGAUCCAUGGGUUGGGAAGAUCCCCUGGAGAAGGGCAUGAAAACCAGCUCUAGUAUUCUUGCCUGGAGAAUCCCGUGGACAGAGGAGCCUGUGAGAAAGGCAAUCAUCUACAAACAAGGAAGGGAGGUCUCACCAGAAACCUACCCUGAAGACACUCUAAAGCUACAGACUCAAAAACUGUAAAUGUAGAAUUCCCUUGAGAAGUUGCUGUGAAGUUGUGUGGUUUGCUACUUUCUCUGGCAGCAUAGUCUAUGGCCUGCCAAUGCCUCUGAAGGGAGACAGACUGGACUUGUGACACUUUUCAGGUUUGUUUCUUAAACUCACUUCAUGGAUAAACAGCUUCAGUGAGCUUUUCAAGUGAUUCCCAGGAGGUAGAGCACCUCCCUACUGUUCUACAUUAGAGAAUAAUUUAACAGACACUUAAAAGUAUUUCACAGUCUCAGAAUGG
ensembl:lncRNA